rnacentral:lncRNA from 10 species
CCUGGCUAAUUUUUGUAUUCAGAUCCAGAUUUCUAAAUGUCUUUCUCCAGUUAAAAAAAAAAUAGGGCUCCUGGGAGAAAUGGCUGAUUUCUGGGCUAGGGUAGGGAAAGUAAAAGAUGAACCUGGAAAUAUCUUGUGGUAUCACAAAUUAAGUGUUCUGAAAAUAAGUGCUGAAAAAAUUAUUGUGACAUGUCAAAUGGAUUCAGAAGCCAACAUGAACAAGCUCCCACUGACCAAAUCUGAAACAAUUACAGCAAAUAAAUAAAUAAAUAACGAUGGCAAUGGAUCAUAGCACAUAGAAUAAAAUAAGAAUUUGAGUCCAUACUGAUAUAAUUGAAUAAUAAAGAGAAGAAAGACACCUUCUUUAUAGCAAGAUUCCAAUUACCUACAUGUAGUAAAAAUGAUGCAAUUAGAAAGUCAGCAUUUGGCAACCAUCACAGUAAUAAUUAUUUCAGGCAAGAAUCAAUGAAUGCUAAAUCAGUAAAAGUCUGAUGAGAAAUAAUUAUAUACUCUUCAAUUUUUUCUCCACAAAAUACUUAAUUGCAAAUAAUAACUUUGCGGAAGAAAAACCUGACAGACACUAUUUUAGCCAAGUGAUCAAAACUAACAUCACUGAUAUUGGGACAAAUAACACCUAGUUCCUCCUGAUAGGAUACAUUGAAAAGAACUCUGUCAUUUCUGUGUGAUUGUUGCCAAAAAUCAUAAUCUGAAUCAAAAUAUGAGGAAGUAUCCGAAAAAAGACAACUUGACCGUCAUCCUACAAAAUACCUCUUCCAGAGUGGAAAGGUAGUGAAAAUCAAGUAGAAGAAGGGAAAUAGAAAUUUAAAAAAUUAAGAAAUGAAAUAAUAAAGGUAAGUGUAAAAAUUAAAAUAGAAAACAAAAAUAAUAGUGAAAAUGAAAUCAAAAGCUGGGUCUUUAAAAAAAAUAAAAUUGAUAAACUUCCAUUUAGAUGGGUAAAGAAUAAAGAGAUAAGACAGAAAUUGCCACCCAUGAACUUUUAGUAAUGCAACAGAAUACAUCACUCACUGCAGAGCAUAAUCAUUGGAAGAAAAAUAUGAGAAUAUGGCAGGCAACUUUAUGCCAAUAAAUUCAAUAAACUGGGGAUCACGAUUAUGAUCAACAUUCACUUUUGAAAGGGCCAUGGAGGAAAAUGAACCAGGAAGAUCCUCCCUGGGGCAGAGCUACCACUGGAUGAAAUGAACAAUUCAUUGAAAGACACAAAUUACCAAAACUAACCCAAUAAGCAAUAUAAAACUUGAAUUGCCCUAUUAAUUCAAGAAAUUGCAUUUUUAAUUAAAAAUCUUUCCAAAAAGAAAAAUUCAUGCCUAAAUGGCUUCAC